rnacentral:rRNA from 1 species
GACGAACGCUGGCGGCGUGCCUAAUACAUGCAAGUCGAGCGAGCGGAACCAACAGAUUUACUUCGGUAAUGACGUUGGGAAAGCGAGCGGCGGAUGGGUGAGUAACACGUGGGGAACCUGCCCCUAAGUCUGGGAUACCAUUUGGAAACAGGUGCUAAUACCGGAUAAUAAAGCAGAUCGCAUGAUCAGCUUUUGAAAGGCGGCGUAAGCUGUCGCUAAGGGAUGGCCCCGCGGUGCAUUAGCUAGUUGGUAAGGUAACGGCUUACCAAGGCGACGAUGCAUAGCCGAGUUGAGAGACUGAUCGGCCACAUUGGGACUGAGACACGGCCCAAACUCCUACGGGAGGCAGCAGUAGGGAAUCUUCCACAAUGGACGCAAGUCUGAUGGAGCAACGCCGCGUGAGUGAAGAAGGUUUUCGGAUCGUAAAGCUCUGUUGUUGGUGAAGAAGGAUAGAGGUAGUAACUGGCCUUUAUUUGACGGUAAUCAACCAGAAAGUCACGGCUAACUACGUGCCAGCAGCCGCGGUAAUACGUAGGUGGCAAGCGUUGUCCGGAUUUAUUGGGCGUAAAGCGAGCGCAGGCGGAAAAAUAAGUCUAAUGUGAAAGCCCUCGGCUUAACCGAGGAACUGCAUCGGAAACUGUUUUUCUUGAGUGCAGAAGAGGAGAGUGGAACUCCAUGUGUAGCGGUGGAAUGCGUAGAUAUAUGGAAGAACACCAGUGGCGAAGGCGGCUCUCUGGUCUGCAACUGACGCUGAGGCUCAGAAAGCAUGGGUAGCGAACAGG